rnacentral:rRNA from 1 species
UAANUGANGUUUCAUCNUGGCUCAGGACGAACGCUGGCGGCGUGCNUAAUACAUGCAAGUCGAACGCUUCUUUUUCCACCGGAGCUUGCUCCACCGGAAAAAGAAGAGUGGCGAACGGGUGAGUAACACGUGGGUAACCUGCCCAUCAGAAGGGGAUAACACUUGGAAACAGGUGCUAAUACCGUAUAACAAUCAAAACCGCAUGGUUUUGAUUUGAAAGGCGCUUUCGGGUGUCGCUGAUGGAUGGACCCGCGGUGCAUUAGCUAGUUGGUGAGGUAACGGCUCACCAAGGCCACGAUGCAUAGCCGACCUGAGAGGGUGAUCGGCCACAUUGGGACUGAGACACGGCCCAAACUCCUACGGGAGGCAGCAGUAGGGAAUCUUCGGCAAUGGACGAAAGUCUGACCGAGCAACGCCGCGUGAGUGAAGAAGGUUUUCGGAUCGUAAAACUCUGUUGUUAGAGAAGAACAAGGAUGAGAGUAACUGUUCAUCCCUUGACGGUAUCUAACCAGAAAGCCACGGCUAACUACGUGCCAGCAGCCGCGGUAAUACGUAGGUGGCAAGCGUUGUCCGGAUUUAUUGGGCGUAAAGCGAGCGCAGGCGGUUUCUUAAGUCUGAUGUGAAAGCCCCCGGCUCAACCGGGGAGGGUCAUUGGAAACUGGGAGACUUGAGUGCAGAAGAGGAGAGUGGAAUUCCAUGUGUAGCGGUGAAAUGCGUAGAUAUAUGGAGGAACACCAGUGGCGAAGGCGGCUCUCUGGUCUGUAACUGACGNGAGGC